CAAAUGACAUCAUGAGUUUCAAGUUAUUGCUUCAUGUUAUGAGCAAAGGCUUGUGUUUCACAUGAGAUUCAGCUCUUAACAAACGGCACGCAAAACAAAGGAACUUAUUCAUCAGCAAUAGUCCAAGUCAUAUCGUUCUCAAAGAUCCAGUGGCAAACUUCGAUCUCACCAGGACCUGAACCCAAAGCCAAGAAUGCACCAUGGGUGGAGCUCCAAGCAGAAGUAUCCAAGUGACAGACGGCUACACCGUGAUUGAUUUUGUCCUUGGUAUGUGGAUCCAAGAUAUCCGCUUCGUAGACCCGUACUUUGGGAACAGAGUGACAGUAGUAGAGCAGGUAUGGGUACAAACUCUGGUGGCAAGAGACUGAUUUUGUCACUUUGCCUCCAUUGAUCCCUUUCAUCGUUCCUAUCUCGAUGUCCUGCUUCCACCCAUUUACAUUUUUAGUCGUGCGAACCACCGUAUUGUGGCCUAGGACAGAGGUGGCGAAAUCAAUCAAAUCUUCAGCAGAACCCACACAGCGUUUGGUCUCUCCGCGGCUAGGUGCUCUCUCGCAUUCAUUGAGAGCAUCCAGAAGUAUGGUCUCCAUGCUAGAACUAUCACUGGCAUGGAAUAUUUCCUUGAGCUCGGAGAUUUUGGAAGUAGAGAAUGGCAAUUUUGAGGUGAUGGAUCGAGGAAGAAAUGACCUUUUGGGCAUUUUGUCUCUAAUAUCAGGCAUUGGCAUCACAGUCCCUUUCUGCAACAUUGAUUCCCUGAAGAAUUUGCCUGGCUCUACCCAUUUCUUGACCAGAUUGUCUCUGGCAGCUGGUAAUGCUCGAGUGACGUUGUACUCGGCAAAAGUGACACCCUCUUUAGCAUAUUCCUUGAAAUUUCUUAAUCCGUCUCCCUCUCCAUAUGUACUGAACCCAACGGUACUCUUCCCCUCAGCUCCCUGACCGUAACCGGUGAAGUUGUCUCCGUAGGCAAAAGAUUGCCCAAAAUAACUGGUGAAAUUGAUCUUUUCUGCAUUGGAAUUCUUGGCAUAAGAUUUAAACGCAUCAGUACCGACGCUGGAACGCUCACUGUAACCAGUGAAGCUUUCUAUACCACCUUUUCCUCCAUCCCCAUAACUCUUGAAAGAGCUAGGAACUUGAUUCCCUUCAAACCCAUAAGACUUAAAAGUGUCAUUACCUCCAUUUUCGUUAUUACCAUAAUUUGUGAAAUUAGAUUCAGCCAGAUUCGUACUCUGAUCAUAUUCCACGAACUCGUUCGGGGAUCGAUUCCCAUUCUUCCCAUAACUAAUGAACCAUUCAACGCCCAAGUUCGCAUUCUCUACGUAAGUCGAGAAUCUGUGAGCCCUGCUUUCACCAUCAUUGGCAUACGAAUUGAAUCGGAGAUUUUGGAAAUUUACAUUCUCAUUGUACUUCUUGAAAUCACCUUCGCCCCCGGUAGCGCCGGUGCCGUAGGUGUUGAAGUUGUCAUCAGCAAGGUUUGCACCGUGAGCAUAAUGUGAAAACUCGUCUCUGCGAUCCUGAGAGUUUCGGCUGUACCGGCGAAAGGUAUCGAUUGCGAAAUUGUCGCCUUCUGAGUAGUUCUUAAACGAUUCGAACCCAUCGGCUCUACUCGUGCCGUAACUAGUAAAGUUCUGGUUGCGAUAGAUGGCAAAGUUGGAGUCUUUGUCAUGGACAUGUGUCUGACUGUCAAGAUUGGAUGACAAGUCGGGGAAGCACAAGAGGUUGGCGGAGGAACAGAAGGUGGAGAGGUGGGAAGAGAGGUCAUUUUGAGCGGCGAGUUUGGCAAAAGUAGCUGAGUUAACAGCGUUCAAAGGGGACGCCUUGGAAAGGAUGAAUGGAGAAAUUGGCAACUUCUUGUUUAUCUGCUUGCUCCAAUAUCGCAUCAAAGAUGCUUUUGGAGUGAAUGGGUUCUCCCUGGCUGAUGACUCUUUAGCACUGGCAAAAUUCACAUUGGAGGAUGAAAGAAAGAACAGAG
rnacentral:misc_RNA from 1 species